CCUACGGGAGGCAGCAGUGGGGAAUAUUGCACAAUGGGGGAAACCCUGUGGAAGCAACGCCCCAUGAGCGAGGAGGGCCUUCGGGCGUUAAGGCCCUGUCCUAAGGGAAGAAAAAUGCCGGUACCUUGGGAGGAAGCCCCGGGUACCUCCGUGCCAGCAGCCGCGGUAAUACGUAGGGGGCGAGCGUUAUCCGGAAUCACUGGGGGUAAAGGGUGCGUAGGCGGCCAAUUAAGCCAGGGGUGAAAGGCUACGGCUCAACCGUAGUAAGCCCUUGGAACUGAAUGGCUUGAGUGCAGGAGAGGAGAGUGGAAUUCCUAGUGUAGCGGUGAAAUGCGUAGAUAUUAGGAGGAACACCAGAGGCGAAGGCAACUCUCUGGACUGUAACUGACGCUGAGGCACGAAAGCGUGGGGAGCAAACAGGAUUAGAUACCCCAGUAGUC
rnacentral:rRNA from 1 species